UGAACGCUGGCGGUAUGCUUAACACAUGCAAGUCGAACGGAAACGAUACUAGCUUGCUAGUAGGCGUCGAGUGGCGGACGGGUGAGUAACGCGUAGGAAUCUGCCUGAUAGUGGGGGAUAGCCCGAAGAAAUUCGGAUUAAUACCGCAUAAUCUAUUCGUAGUAAAGUGGGGGACUUUCGAGCCUCACGCUAUCAGAUGAGCCUGCGUAAGAUUAGCUUGUUGGUAGGGUAAAAGCCUACCAAGGCGACGAUCUUUAGCUGGUCUGAGAGGAUGAUCAGCCACAUCGGGACUGAGACACGGCCCGAACUCCUACGGGAGGCAGCAGUGGGGAAUAUUGGACAAUGGGGGCAACCCUGAUCCAGCAAUACCGCGUGUGUGAAGAAGGCCUGAGGGUUGUAAAGCACUUUCAAUUGUGAAGAAAAGUUAGCGGUUAAUAACCGUUAGCCUUGACGUUAACUUUAGAAGAAGCACCGGCUAACUCCGUGCCAGCAGCCGCGGUAAUACGGAGGGUGCAAGCGUUAAUCGGAAUUACUGGGCGUAAAGCGUGCGUAGGCGGUUUAUUAAGUCAGAUGUGAAAGCCCCGGGCUUAACCUGGGAACUGCAUUUGAAACUGGUCAACUAGAGUAUGGUAGAGGAAAGUGGAAUUUCUGGUGUAGCGGUGAAAUGCGUAGAUAUCAGAAAGGAACAUCAAUGGCGAAAGGCAGCUUUCUGGACCAAUACUGACGCUGAGGUACGAAAGCGUGGGUAGCAAACAGGAUUAGAUACCCUGGUAGUCCACGCCGUAAACGAUGAUAACUAGCCGUUGGGGGGAUUUACCCUUUAGUGGCGAAGCUAACGCGUUAAGUUAUCCGCCUGGGGAGUACGGCCGCAAGGUUAAAACUCAAAGGAAUUGACGGGGACCCGCACAAGCGGUGGAGCAUGUGGUUUAAUUCGAUGCAACGCGAAGAACCUUACCUGGUCUUGACAUCCUGCGAACUUUCUAGAAAUAGAUUGGUGCCUUCGGGAACGCAGUGACAGGUGCUGCAUGGCUGUCGUCAGCUCGUGUCGUGAGAUGUUGGGUUAAGUCCCGUAACGAGCGCAACCCCUAUCCUUAUUUGCCAGCACAUCAUGGUGGGAACUAUAAGGAGACUGCCGGUGAUAAACCGGAGGAAGGCGGGGACGACGUCAAGUCAUCAUGGCCCUUACGACCAGGGCUACACACGUGCUACAAUGGGAAGGACAAAGAGCCGCGAAGCCGCGAGGUGUAGCUAAUCUCAUAAACCUUUUCGUAGUCCGGAUUGGAGUCUGCAACUCGACUCCAUGAAGUCGGAAUCGCUAGUAAUCGUAGAUCAGAAUGCUACGGUGAAUACGUUCCCGGGUCUUGUACACACCGC
rnacentral:rRNA from 1 species